CUGUGGAACAUAAAAGAAGAUAUUUCGAGAAAUUUUACAGUGUUUUUUUCCAUACAAUAGAAGUCAGUGGGCUCCAAUCAUAUUUGGUUUCCAACAUUCUUUCACAGAACAAAGACAUGCAUACAGGUUUGAAAUGACAAAAGGGACCAAAUUAAAGAAUGAUUUAGGUGGACUGUCACUUUUGCAGCUAGUCUCUUAGAGUAAUACAUUGACACUUGGCUGCCCACAUUUCACAUCAGUGACACUUGUUUGAUAAUCAAAAACUUUACUGUAGGUGCAAAUACAUGCAAAUUUCUAACUGAGCACAAAACAAAAUGUGAUUAUAUGAUGUAACCCAGAGGUAGCAUAGACUGAAUGAUUUUUAAAUUAACUUAUAGUUUCCUAUUUCACCAGGAAAGCAGCCAGGGCCUGACACAGUGAUGAAGCGCAGCUGUGUGGUCACAACAACCAUAGUGACAGAACUCACUCAGACACACCCCGUCCCACCAAAUGACACGUCCAGCACAGAGCAGCUUGAUUCAGUCUGUAAUUCAUGUGAUCUGAGCUCAGCUGCCGAGUCCACCAAGGCUGAGGAGACUUCAUACUCACUCUCACUGACAGGUAAUACGACUUUUACACUUUCCACAUUUCUCUCAUAAUGCGAUGACCGAAUUAGUCCCUUCUCCACACUUCUCGCCCUUUUUAGUCCUUCAUUUACUUCCUAUAAAUCCUCUGUUGGGUUGCCUUUCUUUCUGGUUUACCUUCUUCUCUUGCUUUUUGUCUCUUUCAUUGACUACCCCUUCUUUUAUUUGGUGUGCGUGUGGGUCUGUUAGAGUCCUCACAUUCCUCUAGUAGCUCUAGGUUACGCUGGGAGUUCUUCGCUCCAACAGGUAAAACUGAUAGAUGAACUAAUAGCACAGGGCUUCCAUCUCCACGAACGACAGAUGAUCCAUCUGCUCAUCUCUGCUCAUCUCUCAUUUGUUAGCCUCCUUUGACUUCUCCCGUUGAGGUGCAUUGUACAGUAAAUGCUUGUCUGCUGAGGGCACUAUGAGACAAUACAGACUUUUAAAACUGGUUAACAUUAAUUUAAGUUGUCAUGUU
ensembl:lncRNA